rnacentral:rRNA from 1 species
GAUGAACGCUGGCGGCGUGCUUAAUACAUGCGAGUCGAGCGAACAGACGAGGAGCUUGCUCCUUUGCCGUUAGCGGCGGGCGGGUGAGUAACACGUGGAUAACCUACCUAAAAGACUGGGAUAACUUCGGGAAACCGGAGCUAAUACCGGAUAAUAUCUAGAACCGCAUGGGGGGGUCGUUAGAGACGGUUUUGCUGUCACUUGUCGAUGUAUCCGCGCCGCAUUGGCUAGUUGGUAGGGUACCGGCUUACCAAGGCGACGAUGCGUAGCCGAACUGAGAGGAGGAUCGGCCACACGGGAACGGAGACACGGACCAGACUCCUACGGGAGGCAGCAGAAGGGAAUCUUCCGCAAUGGGCGAAAGCCUGACGGAGCAACGCCGCGUGUGUGAUGAAGGCCUUCGGAUCGUAAAACUCUGUUAGUGGGGAAGAACAAAUGUGUAAGGAAACAUGCACGUCUUGACGGUACCUGAUCAAGAAGCCCCGGCUAACUACGUG